AAAGGGAGAAUGAUGAAAUAAUCAAUGGAGAACACAAAAGAGGUAUACGAGUAUAAGGCUUUUUAGUACAAGCAUGAAUGUUUGUUUCUCAUUCAUUCAUCUCUCUGCUUCGGCUACCAGUGUCCUUCAAUAUUAGCAGUCCAUCGACUCCAACAUUCAACAUAAAAAACUUUGACAUCCCAUUUAAUUUCUGGACUUCACAUUUGCCAUUUUUCUAUUUGCAUAUAUAUCUGGGAAUAGAAAUGAAUUUUACCCC
rnacentral:misc_RNA from 1 species